UACACUGUCGUGCUCCUGUACCUAGUUCAC
rnacentral:piRNA from 1 species